AGGCGUAAAAGGAGAGAAUGGUAUUCUAGGCAGAGAACAGAGAGUAUGCAGGGCCAGCAGUCCAAAGACAAAGCAAGAGACAGAGGAAGAAACAGGGAGACACAGAGAGGGGGAGACGGAAGCAGAGACAGAGAGAGAGGGGCGUGGUUUUCUUCAGGACCUCACAAAAGUGUGUGUAGCUUGAGUUCUAGGGGAGUUGAGAGAGACGCGCCAGAGGUGAAGCUGGAAGCAGAUGAGGGCCAGGCCUGUGGAGGGCUCGGGAGACAGGGUGGUGACACUCGCGCAGCCUGCGGUGGCCCUCACCUCGUGGGGUGCGAGUCACAGGCCGUGAGCAUCUCCCCAUUUGUGGCUAUUAUUGGGGUCUUAAAUUUUAGAUCUCAGUAAAUACCUGCCCGUGCAAACCUAACUUUGGUACGCCCCAAAGACGAGAAAUGUACUGAAAUGAAAACUGGAAAGAGAUCAAUUAAAAGAAAGGCUAACUAUUCAAGGAAGUAGAAUUCACUUUCACCAAGGUAUAUUUUUUGACAGUGACAUAACUGUGUGCCAAAUACUUCCAGUUUUAGAGGAUCAUGGAUUAAAACAAAAACCC
rnacentral:lncRNA from 1 species